ACCUGCCUGGCUCAGUUGGUAGGGCAUGUGACUCUUGAUCUCAGGGUGGUGAGUUCAAGACCCUCGCUGGGUG
rnacentral:tRNA from 1 species